rnacentral:rRNA from 1 species
UACGUAGGUGGCGAGCGUUGUCCGGAUUUACUGGGCGUAAAGAGCGCGCAGGCGGUCGUCCAAGUCGCGUGUGAAAGCCCCCGGCUCAACUGGGGAGGGUCACGCGAUACUGAUCGACUCGAAGGCAGGAGAGGGUAGUGGAAUUCCCGGUGUAGUGGUAAAAUGCGUAGAUAUCGGGAGGAACACCAGUGGCGAAGGCGACUACCUGGCCUGUUCUUGACGCUGAGGCGCGAAAGCGUGGGGAGCAAACAGG